rnacentral:rRNA from 1 species
UGGCGGCCGUGCCUAACACAUGCAAGUCAACUUGAAGGAAGGAGCAAGUCUGACCUGGAUGGUGGACGCAAGGGUGCGUAACGCGUAAGUAACUUGCCCCAAGGUAAGGAAUAACGUCGAGAAAUCGGCGCUAAUACCUCAUAAUGCAGCGGACCGCAUGGGUAUGUUGUUAAAGGUUUACCGCCUUGGGAUAGGCUUGCGUCUGAUUAGCUAGUUGGUGUGGUAACGGCACACCAAGGCUACGAUCAGUAACUGGUCUGAGAGGAUGAUCAGUCACACUGGAACUGAGACACGGUCCAGACUCCUACGGGAGGCAGCAGUGAGGAAUAUUGGGCAAUGCACGAAAGUGUGACCCAGCAACGCCGCGUGGAGGAUGAAGGUAUUCUAUAUCGUAAACUCCUGUGAGAGCAGACGAAAGACAGAUUAUUAAUUUGGAUGACUGUAUGCUCAGAGGAAGCCCCGGCUAACUACGUG